rnacentral:misc_RNA from 1 species
AGCAGCCGCGGUAAUUCCAGCUCCAAUAGCGUAUAUUAAAGUUGUUGCAGUUAAAAGCUCGUAGUUGAAUUUCGGGGUUAGUAGGUUGGUCAUGCCUCUGGUAUGUACUGGUCUCACUGAUUCCUCCUUCCUGAUGAACCUUAAUGCCAUUAAUUUGGUGUUUUGGGGAAUUUGGACUGUUACUUUGAAAAAUUAGAGUGUUUAAAGCAAGCUAACGCUUGAAUACAUUAGCAUGGAAUAAUGAAAUAGGACGUUCGAUCCUAUUUUGUUGGUUUCUAGGAUUGACGUAAUGAUUAAUAGGGAUAGUUGGGGGCAUUAGUAUUCAAUUGUCAGAGGUGAAAUUCUUGGAUUUAUUGAAGACUAACUACUGCGAAAGCAUUUGCCAAGGAUGUUUUCAUUAAUCAAGACGAAAGUUAGGGAUCGAGGACGAUCAGAUACCGUCGUAGUCUUAACCAUAAACUAUGCCGACUAGGGAUCGGAUGAUGUUAAUUUUUAUGACUCAUUCGGCGUCCUUACGGGU